UGCUCUGACCCUGACUGGAGACCGGGGACUCUUGGCUAAGAUACCUGUGAUGUAUCUGGAAGGGACCGGGGGCGCUUCCCAGGUGGAGGUGCCCUCCGUUGUCUUAAUGCACCACCUUUUCCUGUGAACUUGCAGCCCUCCCUGGAGAGUGAGCUUCCAUUAGCCUCGGACUGUCAGUUCCCACAACCAGCACUGCCCAACAGCGGACAGACAGCCAGGCUGCGCUUCCACCUCUCUGGGGAUUCCCGCCUUUUUCUACUGUGAAGAUGAAAUUAUUAUACUAGCAUGAAGGUCAUGGGUCUGUGUGUCUGUGAGCUGAUUCUGUCUACUGCGGGCUGAUUGUACAACUCUGCUAUGUUGCAUCCCACUAGACCAGCAGCUUACGUUCAAGGGACUGAUUAUGUGACAUG
rnacentral:lncRNA from 1 species